UACGAAGGGUGCAAGCGUUACUCGGAAUUACUGGGCGUAAAGGGCGCGCAGGCGGCCUUAGAAGUCAGAUGUGAAAGCCCCGGGCUCAACCUGGGAAUGGCAUUUGAUACUCUGAGGCUGGAGUACGGGAGAGGAGAGUGGAAUUCCCAGUGUAGAGGUGAAAUUCGUAGAUAUUGGGAAGAACACCGGUGGCGGAGGCGGCUCUCUGGACCGUAACUGACGCUGAGGCGCGAAAGCGUGGGGAGCAAACAGG
rnacentral:rRNA from 1 species